UACGUAGGGUGCGAGCGUUGUCCGGAAUUACUGGGCGUAAAGAGCUCGUAGGUGGUUUGUCGCGUUGUUCGUGAAAACUCACAGCUUAACUGUGGGCGUGCGGGCGAUACGGGCAGACUGGAGUACUGCAGGGGAGACUGGAAUUCCUGGUGUAGCGGUGGAAUGCGCAGAUAUCAGGAGGAACACCGGUGGCGAAGGCGGAUCUCUGGGCCAGUAUUGACGCUGAGGAGCGAAAGCGUGGGUAGCAAACAGG
rnacentral:rRNA from 1 species